rnacentral:rRNA from 1 species
UACAGAGGUCUCAAGCGUUGUUCGGAUUCAUUGGGCGUAAAGGGUGCGUAGGUGGCGCGGUAAGUCGGGUGUGAAAUUUCGGAGCUUAACUCCGAAACUGCAUUCGAUACUGCCGUGCUUGAGGACUGGAGAGGAGACUGGAAUUUACGGUGUAGCAGUGAAAUGCGUAGAGAUCGUAAGGAAGACCAGUGGCGAAGGCGGGUCUCUGGACAGUUCCUGACACUGAGGCACGAAGGCCAGGGGAGCAAACAGG